CUUUCCUUGUAGGUAAUCUCCGAGUAUUAAAAGGAUCAACAACGAAGCACUGAGCUUUUUUGAUUGCAGGUGCCAUCCAGCUAACCUUUGGGAGCAGAUGAGCAUUGGAGGUAUCCCAGAAGAUGACAGCACAUUGUCCAAGUCUGGUCAGAGCCAGUGACACGAGGACCUGCCUCUGUGAUGUUGACUCCGAGUACUCUCCCGAUGCCAGGAACCUCUGAGCCAGCCCAGGUGCCCCUGCUCUGCAUUGAAGAUGGAUUCACAUCCCCGGCUGUCGGGAAGAUAAGUGCAGGGCAAAGACCCAGAGAGGGGCUGGGAGUGGGUGCAAGUAUGUGUCUCACCUGAAGGGAUUUUUGAAAUUAGUGCAGUGCAAUAGGUGUCCUGUAACAGGUUAUUUGGACACAUCAAAGGAAGGGCUUACUUUGUAUCAUUGGAUUCACUUGUGCAGGGCAGAGCAGUUCCAAUCUGUGUCAGGUCCUUUAUCUUGUCCCUGUUUUGUGUCCUUCUUCUCUUAAUUGUGUCACAUGUUGUGUGUUGUCACAGGUGUGGGGUGUCUCACUUGGGGUCAACCUGGAACUGCUCUGCCCUGCUCCGUGGAUCAGUGGGUAGAUAGAAUAUUGCUCGGAGUCUCCCAUCAGCAUGUCAGUUACCUCAGUCAGUGGAGCCGAUGGCUGUACGGUCCU